UACGAAGGGGGCUAGCGUUGCUCGGAAUCACUGGGCGUAAAGGGUGCGUAGGUGGAUUUUUAAGUCAGGGGUGAAAUCCUGGAGCUCAACUCCAGAACUGCCUUUGAUACUGGGAAUCUUGAGUUCGGGAGAGGUGAGUGGAACUGCGAGUGUAGAGGUGAAAUUCGUAGAUAUUCGCAAGAACACCAGUGGCGAAGGCGGCUCACUGGCCCGAUACUGACACUGAGGCACGAAAGCGUGGGGGAGCAAACAGGAGU
rnacentral:rRNA from 1 species